CGUUAAAACACCAAUUCUCGUACGAUCACCGAAGGUAAGCAAGCACGAAUCUGGUCAGUACUUAGAUGGGUGACCACCUGGGAAUAUCAGGUUCUGUAAG